rnacentral:lncRNA from 10 species
GCUCUUUAGUCCACCACGUCGCAAAUGGGACGCUGCUUCCUUUGGGCCUUUCCUGACCCUUCCAUUGUGGAUCAGUCUUCGUUUUAUGAGCUCCUUUAACGCUUUGUGUUGAUCCCUCAAUCUCAAUGGCAGCUAAAAGGAUGUAGCCUAGGGCACGUGCCCAGACUGUGCGGCUGCCCCGCUGCCCGGUGAGUGGCUCUACUGCGCUCCGCCCGAGGCGCCUUCUCAUGCACCCCCGGCGUUCUCAGGAAGCACUUCUGCCAGCAGUUUACAAAGCAUUUGACAGCAGGGGAUUGGCCUCCUGCACAGGAAGUUUGUCUUCUCCUGAGGAAGUGGAUGCCAUGUGUCACUUUGCAGAUGGAUCAAGUGCAGGAGGUGCCUGUUGGAGACGCAGAGCUCUGCAGCAGCAGGUGAGCUGAUGCUGCAACCUGCUAAACGCCGCUCCUGCGGAGCGCCAGGGCCCAGAGUGCACAUGGCUCUCAGGCUCCGUGAAAAGCUUGCAGUGAGCUCAGCCACUGAAAAGUCACUACGAAGAUGGAAAGCAAAAUGAAAACCGAGUCCUCGGUACCCUAUGUUUAUCUGUCUCUAAGAGAACAUCCUUGGGUUUAUUUAUGAUUUGAGUACUUCAUAAGAAAAGUAGUAUAAAAUAGAAAAUAAUGUGUUGAUGUCCUAUAUAAGUGAAUCUACUCAAUACAAUUUAUAAAGCAUAUGCUUCUACAGAAAUGUCUUUGUACUUAGAAAUGACACUUUAGUUAACUUCUUAGCCAGUCCUUGGACAUUUGAGUAUAAAACAAAAUGGAAGUGGCUCCAGCCAGCGCCAAGAGACCCUGGGAGGUUUGCACUGUGUGCUCUGCAGGGGCCAGGUAUCCUUCAUCACAGCAGCAGCCUGCGUGGCCCAGCACAGCCUGCAACUGCAGAAACAGAGCUCACCGUGGCUGCUCCCCAUUUACAGUUUAUGCCAAAAUCUAGGUCACUUGAGUUCUCAAGUGAGUUCUUAAUCAGGGAGUACAUGGAUAAGGCCUAUUUUAAUGUUUUUAUUUAAUCCUAUUUAGUUUUGUGUACUUACGGCAUCAUCCUGAGAAGGAAGUUUGUAGGUUUCAUAGGAGCCAACAUGGUUCACACACAAAGACAGGCCAAGAACCCCAAACAUGCCAUCGGAGAGCAGCCAGGGCCCCCAGGAUUGACCCUGAUCCCUGUCUCUCUUCAGGCCACUGCCUCCCCCAACCCCAGGAUACCUCAGGCCUGGCACUUAGGCCCACAGCGGAGGGCAUGUUCCCCCACUUCGACCUACCCCAAGACAGGCCUCUCCUUGUGAAUACUGACAAUGGAAAAUGUUUCCUUCUGCCAAGGGAAUCCCGUGGCCCUCACAGGAGUGUGGGUUUGGCCUUGGGUCUGAAUAGAUGGCUGCAUGACUGCCUGGGGUCAUGCCGCUCAGAGGCUGAGUGCUCUAGCCUGCAGGAAUAGUGGGGAUGGGGGUCUACACACCAAGCCCUGGUGGACUGUGUUGGGUGGGGCAGUGUCUUCCUCAGUCUGUUGUCAAGGAGGCUGUAAAAAUACUGUGGCUCAAUCUCGUCCAUGGCUACAGAGCUGCAUGCAGAAGCCAAAGGUGCCUGGUUUUGCCUUAGUAUUUUUCACGUAGAAAGAGAAGAGACAAGUACAUUCGUUUAGAAGAAACUCACCAGGAAAAGCAAGCACGGACUGACUUUUUAGGCAUGUGAGCUGGAUGGGAGGAAAGGCAGUGGUUGGGUGGAGGAGGGGAUGACUGUUUUGCUCAGAGCCUCCUUCAGUUCAAUUAGUCCGUCUUCCAUCUUCACCUGCACCUGUAGACACCGCUUCCUGGAGCUGUUCUGUGCAGAAGUUGAGUGAAGAUACUGCAGCGAGCCCUGGGUCUGAACGCCUGUGUGCUGACUCUAGACCUGCUCCUCAGCCCCAGUUUUCUCUGAAAAACCAGGAUUCUAGCACAACUCGUACCCCCAUUCUUUUCAGUCCUGCACCCACCAGCGAGCCGCAAGGCCCAGGAGCUACUGGCCCUGUUUUCCUGUCUCCAGUACUGGCCUUUGAUUUAUGAGAUGUCCCCUGUCUCCCCUGCUUCUGACCUCCCAGGAUGGCAUUUGGUGAUUUCUUGAUGUUCUCUUGCUUUGGCAUUAAAAUAUGGAUGGGAGUGUCAUUUCCAGAUCUUUUCCAGACCUGUGCAAUUCUUUCCAUUCUUCAUAACAGCCCAUGACCCACCUUCCUCUGUUUCAGCCACAAAGCUAGCCAUGCCUGUGUGCGCACUGCUGUUUCUCAUUGUUAAUAUUUUAACUGUUAUUAAAAAAAAAACUUUCUUUUAAACUGUGUGUGUAUGGUUUUAAAAAUUGACGCACUUCCAGAGCUCUCAACUUCUGCAGUCUUUCUGAGGUCCGUGUUCCUCUUCUUCAGCUGGGAAGCAAAUGCUUGACUU